GUCAAACAAAAUUUAUAAAACUACGAUAAUUUGACUCCAAGUGAAUUGUAUCACUCAAAAAUUAAAACUUCACAAUGAAACACGUACUUCUACAGCGGUUAUUCUUUCAUCUCUUUUGAGACUAUUUAGAUGGAUGAAUAGAAAAAACAAAAUAAAUAAAACAUAAAUUAGGAGAAGCUAGAAUGGAGUAAACACAGAGUCUGAACCACCGUUGGCCCGGGCCGGCCCAGUCCAGUCCAAACGCUUAUCCUUCCAUUGGCCGGCCGGUGGUGCGGUCAUAUCGUCCGUCUCUCAUUUCAUUGGUAAUUUGUUGGUACUCUGCUACGAUCUUCGAUCACAACAGAACAGAACAAUCACGCUGCGCACUUUCUAUGAUUUAGGGCUUACUCACCACCAUGAGACCAACUCCGCCUCAAAAACCCCCAAACCUAUCCCUCUUCCACAAGGGCCAAACAAUCGAGGUUCUCAAGCCCAUUGGCAAUGCAGCAGCGGCCACCCUUGUAUGGCUUUGGUACCCCGCCACCUUCCUCCGCUCCUCUCCCCCGCAAGUUUACGUACAAUUUGAUACGUUGAGCGAGUUUGAGGGCCACCCGACAUCGCCGCCGCUUAGGGAAUACGUCAGGGCGGAGGACGUUAGGCCGACUCCUCCUUCGGAGCUGCACAGAUACUUUAAAGUUGGCGAACUCGUGGAGGGUUUCUGUUGGGAGAAUAAGGGGUGGAGGAAGGGCACAAUUGUGGAUAUACUCGAGAAAUCGAGGUACGCGGUGUCGUUUGAGGAGGGCGACGCCCACGCCCAUGCCCACGCCCACGCCCAUAAGAGUAGUAGUAAUCCUCGUGUUGAUAAGUUGGAACCGUGGGAGGUUAGAUCUCUUAGGGAGUGGGUUGAUGGUUCGUGGCACCCGCCGCUUUCUCAACUUGAGCUAAACAAGCCAAGUGUGUCAAAAGUGACGUCGAGGGGUUUGAUACUCAGGAUAAAGUGUAGUGGGAAUGCAUCUGCGACAAACUUCAAUGAGGGAAUGUUGGUUGAGGUCAAAAGUGAUGAGGAAGGUUUUCAAGGUUCUUGGUUUACUGCCGUUAUUGUUAAAUUGCUGGGAAAUAACAAGUUCUUGGUGGAGUACAGGACAUUGACAACAGAUGAUAAGACUGAACUUCUUAUUGAAGAAGUUGAUAUAUCAUGCAUCAGACAUUGCCCCCCAGUUGUUCAAAGGGUUAUGCCUUUCGAUUAUCUUGAAAAAGUUGAUGCAUGGUAUAAUGAUGGUUGGUGGGAGGGUUACAUUGUCCAGGUUUUCAACAGUUGCAAGUACAUGGUUCACUUUAUGCAUACAGAUGAAGAUAUGGUGUUUGAACAUUGUAAAUUGAGGUCUCAUCAGGAAUGGAUUGAUGGCAAAUGGUUUCCAGCUGCUAAGGUAAAUAUAAGCGAUGCUAAAUUGAGGUCCAACAAGAUUAAAUUAAAGAGGAAGCGCGGUGGAAAGGCAUCAGAGGUGUUUUUCAAAAAUGGGUUGAUGGUGGAGGUUAGAAGUGAUGAAGAUGGCUACCAUGGUUCUUGGUACACUGCCGUGAUAGUGUGCUCCUUACCUUGUGGUAUAUAUCUGGUUGAGUACCAGACACUGAAAACAGAAGACGAGUCUAAACAGCUGCAAGAGAAGGCAUUUGCGUCACAUAUUAGGCCUUGCCCCCCUAAAAUCCUGCACAUAGAUCGUUUCAAAAUGCUUGAAAAUGUUGAUGCAUGGUAUAAUGAUGGAUGGUGGGUGGGCCUUGUUUCCAAAGUUGUUGAUGGUUUAAAGUAUGCUGUAUACUUCUGGACCACAAAUGAGGAAAUUAUGUUUGAACAUUUUAGUUUGAGGCCUCAUCAACAAUGGAUUGGUGGGAAAUGGAUUAAGGCCGCCAGGAAUAAGUCAAAAGUGCCUGUGACGGACAACCUUGGAAAGUGUCAGGGAGAGGAUGACGGAAAUGGUGUAGAAGAAAAAUUUAUGAAUGGAGCAAAAGUAGAGGUAAAAAGUGAUGAGCAAGGCUGCGGCUGCUUCUGGUAUCCAGGCUCUAUUGUAAAACCGUUGGGAAUCCGAAAAUAUUUGGUAAAAUACCAAACACUGAAAGCAGCAGAUGGAACCCAACUGCACCAACAAGAAGCUGAUGGUCUUUGCAUAAGGCCGUGCCCUCCUGUAGUUCAGAGAAGAGAGCCAUUCAGGUCGUGUGAGGUAGUUGAUGCUUGGUACAAUGAUGGGUGGCGGGUUGGGCAAAUCUGCAAUGCCCUUGAGAGGGGAUAUUACAAGGUUUAUUUUGAUACCACAAAAGAGACAUUGCAGUUUCAACAUUAUGAGCUAAGGCCUCAUCUAGAUUGGAUCAACGGACAAUGGGUUUCUUCCUAAAGGGGCGGAAAUCAUGGUCAGAAACAGACUGGAGGCGCUAGCUGGCAGGGUGGACUGCACUCUGAUCUCUCCAGGUUGGUAUGAUUUUAUGUUGUGUAUAUUGACUGACGGAUAGCAGCAGCCAUAGCCAUCACGUUUUGCGAAUGGAAGUGAUCUAUCUAUCUGACAUGGUUUGUCUGCGCUGUUUUCUUAGAACAAAUGCUAAGGACUUUAUAUCUGCGUUGAAGCUCACUCCUCCUCCUCCUCCUCCUCGAUAUUCAAUUGCAGCUGCUUCUUGCUAUGAAUAUGAGUGCAUGGAAAGAAAGGGAAAAGAAGUAGUCAGCAAGCAAAUGGGCAUGCGAAGACCAGCAUUGAAUCUAUCUAUUUAUUUGUUCAUCUGUGUCUCGUGGGGCCUUCAAUUCAUUCAUUCAUUCUCUCUCCCUGCCUCCCUGCAGUUGGCUGCUGCUGCUGCUGGUUUACCUUCACUUUCUCUGUCUGCAGCAUCCAUCCCUACCCUCUCCUAUUGCCCCUCCCUCCCUCCGCUCCACGGGGCUGUCAACUUGAUCAUCUUUCCCCUGCAGCUGCUGUGAGAGUACACUCACUCCCACAAAGUAAUUCCAUGUCAAAGUCUUUUUAUUCACCUUCUUCUCCACCUCAGAAUCGGACGUGCAUGGCUUGGCUUUGGCAACAAGGGUUUGCAAGAUCAGAGCACACUAUUAUACACGACAACACAAUGAUUUUAAACACAUCAUUCCAUUUAUUUGCAAAUUUGGCACCAUCAUUUACUCAAUUUCCUCCCAUGUCUCACUAACUCAACUUCUUUUUUUCUCCCAACAAAUCCUUUCCAUAAUAUUCAUUAAAUCUGUACCGGUUCAUACGAGUUCAAA